rnacentral:rRNA from 1 species
UACGUAGGGGGCGAGCGUUGUCCGGAUUUACUGGGCGUAAAGAGCGCGUAGGCGGAGACUUAAGUGUGGCCUGAAAGCCCCCGGCUCAACCGGGGAGGGUGGCUGCAAACUGGGUUUCUAGAGGGGGAUAGAGGAAAGUGGAAUUCCGGGUGUAGCGGUGAAAUGCGUAGAGAUCCGGAGGAACACCAGUGGCGAAGGCGGCUUUCUGGGUCCGCCCUGACGCUGAGGCGCGAAAGCGUGGGGAGCGAACGGGAUUAGAUACCCUAGUAGU